rnacentral:lncRNA from 1 species
UGAGAAAUACAGCCAACAAAUAAAUUUUCAAUUAAAAAAAUAACAAAAAUAGAGACAACAACACAAUGUCAAGUGCCAAAUAGAAGAGCGAACGUGAAAAGAACAAAAGAGCAAGUGGGUAAAGAAUAGAGAUAAGGAUGCGUGAAGAAUAGAGACAAAUCUGGACAGAAACUCAGUGGGAAGAACAAAGACGAAUCUGGACAGAAAACCCAGCAAACAAGUUUAAAGAUAGUCGAAGAUGAGAUCUGAGAAUGAAUGAAGGACCUGACCAUAGACUGAUGCGCGAACUCAACAUUCGAACAAAUGAAUCGAUCUGAAGAUGACUUUCAAAUGAAUGGAGAUGCGUGGACGGGUUCAAUCUGAGCAAAGACAAAUGACUGAAUCAACUAGAGACUAGUAUGCAAAUGGAAUGAAAGCUUGAGUGAAUCGAUCUGCACGAGAAAUAGAGAUAGAUCUGCACGAAUUGAAGAGAAGUUUCACUGUAGCCAAAAGAUUGGUCUGGACAAAGACAAACUGAUCCGCAAAUCGAACUGAUGCACGAAGAUGUUGGUCUAGAUGAAGACGAACGGAAUAGGAAGAUCUCGUCUUCACCGGCGAGUUUCACAGUAGGGAGGAGCGACGACGACGACUACACAGGAUCUAGGUUAGAAAGCUCUGAUACCAUGUAGUUUAUUAUUGAGUAAUAAUUUAAUUUCUUGAUAAUUUUCAAUAAUACAAGUGUAAUUAUACACAAAAUAAUGCAACAUUUGGAGAGAAUAAAUACAAUUAUAUUUUUAAAAAAUAUAACCAAACUACCCUAAUUACUGUAAUAGAAUGGAAGAUUGAAACCAUAUAGUUUUUACUUACCCUGACAUUUGUCUCUAUCUGGACUAGAGAAGGUUUUGUACACUUUCAACUGCAAGAAAAUCGUGUGGAUGAUUCCUAAUGCAAAUGUCUAUGUAGAAAUAGCCAUCAAUUAAUGGAGGCAUUAUAAUCUUAACCAACGGUGAUAGCCUGAUAGGUUCAAAUUCCACCCAACAUAUUAUUGAACAUUUUCUUUUUUCUUUGUUUUAGUACAAAAGGGGUGGAGGUACGUGGGUUUGAACUGCAGACCUUUAGAGGACUGCAUAUUUAGUUAUGUAGUUUGCUUUUAUGAUUUUCAUGCUAGCUACCCUUUUGGAAGUUAAGUGGUUGAAUCUUUAAAGAUGAAUGAUCGAGAUUUAAGUGAAAUGAAUAAGGAAGAAAAUCUUUAAAGACAAGUGAUUGAUAAAUAGUUUUAUAUUUCAUUAUUUUUUGUCUCUUCUUCUGCCUCGCCAGUUUUUUCAAUAUUUUUUUUAUGGUUCAACCUAAUGGGACAUGCAUGUAUAUAAUUUCUUUGGUCAACUGAGUUAAGUUGACAACCUCUCCCGUCUAUUGAUUUCUUUCAUCAAUGUAAAAAAAUUCCAAUAAUAUAUCUGUUUGCCUAACCAUUUAACAUAAAAACUACUACAAACCACAACAAGACCAAAUUGGAUCUCACAUUGCAUUGGAAAACUGAAGAACAAAAACUCUAGAGAAUGAACUACUUUGGUAAACAGGAUGUUUAAUUUCUCAUAUCAAAGAUUUGUAGUUACAUUACCAUUUUGUUUUGUACUAUUGUGUGAACCUUCUUUUUACUAUGAGGCAUUUUAUCUCCAUAACACUACAAGAAAUAACAUUUUCGAUACCUAACGAAAAAGGCUACAAUAGACUUUUUAUAGCCUUUUUUAAAAAUCCUGACAGCCCAUG